UACGUAGGGUGCAAGCGUUAUUCGGAAUCACUGGGCGUAAAGGGCGCGCAGGCGGGUUUGUAAGUUUAAAGUGAAAAUCUUUGGCUUAACCCAAGGGCUGCUAUAAAUACUGCAAAACUCGAGUUCGGGAAAAGCAAGCGGAAUUCCUGGUGAAGGGGUGAAAUUCGUAGAUAUCAGGAAGAACACCAUUGGCGAAAGCGGCUUGCUAGAACGCAGCUGAAGCUUAGGCGCGAAAGCGUGGGGAGCAAACAGG
rnacentral:rRNA from 1 species